rnacentral:rRNA from 1 species
CCAAUAGCGUAUAUUAAAGUUGUUGCAGUUAAAAAGCUCGUAGUUGAAUUUUAGGCCUGGCCAGGCGGUCCGUCUUUGGCGAGUACUGUCUUGUUGUCGGGUCUUCCUUCUGGUGAACCAGUAUGUCCUUUAUUGGGUGUGUUGGGGAGCCAGGACCAUUACCUUGAAAAAAUUAGAGUGUUUAAAGCGGGCUAUUGCUUGAAUAGAUUAGCAUGGAAUAAUAGAAUAGGACGUUGUGGUUCUAUUUUGUUGGUUUCUAGGACCACCGUAAUGAUUAAUAGGGAUAGUUGGGGGCAUUAGUAUUAAAUUGUCAGAGGUGAAAUUCUUGGAUUUAUUGAAGACUAACUAUUGCGAAAGCAUUUGCCAAGGAUGUUUUCAUUAAUCAAGAACGAAAGUUAGGGGAUCGAAGACGAUCAGAUACCGUCGUAGUCUUAACCAUAAACUAUGCCGACUAGGAAUCGGGCGACGUUAUUUUAAUGACUCGCUCGGCGCCUUAUG